UACAGAGGGGGCAAGCGUUGUUCGGAAUUACUGGGCGUAAAGGGCGCGUAGGCGGCCCGCUAAGUCGAACGUGAAAUCCCCGAGCUCAACUCGGGAACUGCGUCCGAUACUGGCGGGCUUGAAUCCGGGAGAGGGAUGCGGAAUUCCAGGUGUAGCGGUGAAAUGCGUAGAUAUCUGGAGGAAUACCGGUGGCGAAGGCGGCAUCCUGGACCGACAUUGACGCUGAACGGCGAAAGCUAGGGGAGCAAACAGGG
rnacentral:rRNA from 1 species